rnacentral:rRNA from 1 species
UUGGAGGUUGUGCCCUUGAGGCGUGGCUUCCGGAGCUAACGCGUUAAGUAGACCGCCUGGGGAGUACGGCCGCAAGGUUAAAACUCAAAUGAAUUGACGGGGGCCCGCACAAGCGGUGGAGCAUGUGGUUUAAUUCGAUGCAACGCGAAGAACCUUACCUGGUCUUGACAUCCACAGAACUUUCCAGAGAUGGAUUGGUGCCUUCGGGAACUGUGAGACAGGUGCUGCAUGGCUGUCGUCAGCUCGUGUUGUGAAAUGUUGGGUUAAGUCCCGCAACGAGCGCAACCCUUAUCCUUUGUUGCCAGCGGUCCGGCCGGGAACUCAAAGGAGACUGCCAGUGAUAAACUGGAGGAAGGUGGGGAUGACGUCAAGUCAUCAUGGCCCUUACGACCAGGGCUACACACGUGCUACAAUGGCGCAUACAAAGAGAAGCGACCUCGCGAGAGCAAGCGGACCUCAUAAAGUGCGUCGUAGUCCGGAUUGGAGUCUGCAACUCGACUCCAUGAAGUCGGAAUCGCUAGUAAUCGUGGAUCAGAAUGCCACGGUGAAUACGUUCCCGGGCCUUGUACACACCGCCCGUCACACCAUGGGAGUGGGUUGCAAAAGAAGUAGGUAGCUUAACCUUCGGGAGGGCGCUUACCACUUUGUGAUUCAUGACUGGGGUGAAGUCGUAACAAGGUAACCGUAGGGGAACCUGC